rnacentral:rRNA from 1 species
CCGGAGUUAACGCGUUAAGCCCACCGCCUGGGGAUUACGUCCGCAAGGAUGAAACUCAAGGGAAUUGACGGGGGCCCACACAACCGGUGGAGCACGUGGUUUAAUUCGAUGAUAAGCGAAGAACCUUACCAGGGCUUGACCUAGCGGUAGUAGGACCCCGAAAGGGGAACGACCUCAAGCUUUGCUUGAGGAGCCGUGGCAGGUAUUGCAUGGCUGUCGUCAGCUCGUGUCGUGGGACGUUGGGUUAAGUCCCGUAACGAGCGCAACCCCUGCCCUUAAUUGCCAACGGGUAAUGCCGGGUACUAUAAGGGGACUGCCGGAGAAUAUCCGGAGGAAGGAGGGGAUGACGUCAAGUCAUUAUGAUCCUUAUGCUCUGGGCGACACACGUGCUACAAUGGGCGCUACAAUGAGGAGCGAUUCCGCAAGGAGGAGCAAAUCUCAAAAAGGUGCCCCCAGUGCGGAUUGGGGUCUGCAACCCGACCCCAUGAAGAUGGAAUCGGUAGUAAUCGCGGGUCAGCCAUACCGCGGUGAAUACGUACUUGGGCCUUG